GGGGGGGGCAAGCGUUGUUCGGAAUUACUGGGCGUAAAGGGCUCGUAGGCGGCCAACUAAGUCCGACGUGAAAUCCCCAGGCUUAACCUGGGAACUGCGUCGGAUACUGGAUGGCUUGAAUUCGGGAGAGGGAUGCAGAAUUCCAGGUGUAGCGGUGAAAUGCGUAGAUAUCUGGAGGAAUACCGGUGGCGAAGGCGGCAUCCUGGACCGACAUUGACGCUGAUGAGCGAAAGCUAGGGGAGCAAACGGGAUUAGAUACCCCGGUAGUCCUAGCCCUAAACGAUGAAUGCUUGGUGUGGCGGGUAUCGAUCCCUGCCGUGCCGAAGCUAACGCAUUAAGCAUUCCGCCUGGGGAGUACGGUCGCAAGGCUG
rnacentral:rRNA from 1 species